rnacentral:rRNA from 1 species
UACGGAGGGUGCAAGCGUUGUCCGGAUUUAUUGGGUUUAAAGGGUGCGUAGGCGGCUUAAUAAGUCCGUGGUGAAAGCCAACAGCUCAACUGUUGAACUGCCAUGGAUACUGGCGGGCUUGAGAGUAGUCGAGGGUGGCGGAAUGGACGGUGUAGCGGUGAAAUGCAUAGAUACCGUCCAGAACCCCAAUUGCGUAGGCAGCUGCCUAGGCUACAUCUGACACUGAGGCACGAAAGCGUGGGGAGCGAACAGG